rnacentral:ncRNA from 1 species
AAAGUUACAGGGGCCCAACCCGGUUGGGGGUUCAACUUCAAAGAGGGACAAGUGGCGUUCAGCCACACGAGAUGAGGCAACAACAGGUCUGUGAGGCCCUUAGAUGGUCGGGGCCGCACGCGCGCUACACUGACCGGAACAGCGUGGGCUCUCCCAGGCCGACAGGUCCGGGAAACCCGUUGAACCCCGGUCGUGCUAGGGAUAGGGAAUUGCAAUUAUUUCCCUUGAACGAGGAAUUCCCAGUAAGCGCGAGUCAUUAGCUCGCGUUGAUUACGUCCCUGCCCUUUGGACACACCGCCCGUCGCUACUACCGAUUGAAUGGUUUAGUGAGGUCCUCCGAUUGGACCCGGUCCGGGCGGCGACGUCCGAGCCGGCGUCCGAGAAGACGAUCUAACUUGAUCAUUUAGAGGAAGUAAAAGUCGUAACAAGGUUUCCGUAGGUGACCCUGCGGAAGGAUCAUUA